AUGAUGACGUUUCUAGGCAGAUUUUCAGACGUCUCUAAUGUGCAUGUGUCUCUAAUGCGUGGCUUCAAUGUUUAUUUUCAAAAUUUAAACGUUGUAAUUACAACAUUUAAAUUUUGAAAAUAAACGUUGAAGGCACGCCUUAGAAACAUCUGAAAAUCUGCCUAGAAACGUCAUCGU